CUUUACAGACCUCUCUUGUCGAUCAAGAUCUUUCCUUAAUGAGGCAGUUAUUGACGCUGAAUGAAACAAUCGAAGAGCUGAAAAACAAGAGGCUGUAUGGUGUAAGCAAAGAUUAUUUAGACGACAGUGCAGAGUAUCUCAAGGGCAGCACGUGUCAUCUGAGUAAAAGUGUGUCCACUAUGUCACUUGGCAGUGACUAUUCUUGUGAAUGUAGUGGAUCUGAAGAUGACACCGACCUGACGAAAACAGAUUUAGAUUCCAAAGACUCUGGCUUUAUCGAAUGAUUGAAUACUAACCAACAACUGUAACAGUAUAUCUGAAUAUUCUGGUCAUAUUAUCUGAAGGCAUGUGAUCCCUCGUUACAACACGGGCAACACGUGUCAGAUAAGUUAGAGUAUGACAACCAUGUCAUCAGCAGUUAAACCUCUAGUGAAUGUAGUAGUUCACAUAUGCCAGAGGACGGCACAGACAUUAAAGAGUAUGAUGCAUGAAAACACUUAUGUCUCCCGGACACGGACGAUUCUAUUUAUUCAUGCAUAAACAUUGUGGGCCUAAAUCAACGACUCAAUAUACAAGUUGGAUGAGUAGCAAGGACAAAACGCAUGGAGUUAACAGAACCAUGUGAAAUGAGAGGCAACACACAUUCUGGUUCGAUGUUUUUUGUUCUACAUCCUAGUAAGUAUAAUUACUUGAAGAAGCUUAAUGUUUUGACAUAAUAAAAUUCACAUUAUCAGGAUUAUAAUAAAUUUUGUACGCAAGUUUCGCGUUUGGUCAAAACAACAUUCAUCAGAUACCGGAAGAGAGAACCUAUAUUCAAAGGAGAUUGAUUUAUUGGUAAAUAUUUUAUAAAUAUGAACAUACUUUAUUUAAUGACUUCACCGCAACUUAACAUAUGACGUAUGCAAUUAAAUGCAUGCAAGUUUUGUGUUGAUUCAUUUUUAAAUUGAAACAAUGUACAGAGAAGUAUACGUUUUUCCUUUAUAUUAAAACAUACAUGAUUAUUUCUUUUUCAGAACAUUGCAAUACAAGAAUUGAUGCACAAGUCAUGGAUGCAGAAUAUGGGGAAAACACAAUAUGGACUCUGCGAUAUGAAUAGGAAGUGACAAAAUGGCAACAGUUUUCUAUGUGCAGUCCUAGAUUAUAUUGCUGUUUUCAUUGACAAUCUAAGAUGUUACAUGUACACACAAUUAUUGCUGUAGUACAAAUAAAGUUCCGUUUCAAUCA
rnacentral:lncRNA from 1 species